rnacentral:rRNA from 1 species
UUAAGCAUAUCAAUAAGCGGAGGAAAAGAAACCAACAGGGAUUGCCUCAGUAACGGCGAGUGAAGCGGCAACAGCUCAAAUUUGAAAUCUGGCCUCUUUGGGGUCCGAGUUGUAAUUUGUAGAGGAUGUUUCGGGUACCGCCUCGGUCUAAAUUUCUUGGAACAGAAUGUCAGAGAGGGUGAGAAUCCCGUCUUGGACCGGCGGUAGGGCCCAUGUGAAACUCCUUCGACGAGUCGAGUUGUUUGGGAAUGCAGCUCAAAAUGGGUGGUAUAUUUCAUCUAAAGCUAAAUAUUGGCCAGAGACCGAUAGCGCACAAGUAGAGUGAUCGAAAGAUGAAAAGAACUUUGAAAAGAGAGUUAAACAGUAUGUGAAAUUGUUGAAAGGGAAGCGCUUGCAACCAGACUUGAGCGCGGCGGUUCCCCCUUCCUUUUGGUUGGGUUACUCCGUCGUGUCCAGGCCAACAUCGGUUCUGGGGGUCGGUUAAAGGCUUGGGGAAUGUACCUACGUCUUCGGGCGUAGACUUAUAGCCCCGAGUGUCAUGCGACCUCCCGGGACCGAGGAACGCGCUUCGGCUCGGAUGUUGGCGUAAUGGUUGUAAGCGGCCCGUCUUGAAACACGGACCAAGGAGUCUAACAUCUAUGCGAGUGUUUGGGUGUCAAACCCGGAACGCGGAAUGAAAGUGAACGGAGGUAGGAAGCUUCGGCUGCACUAUCGACCGAUCCUGAUGUCUUCGGAUGGAUUUGAGUAAGAGCAUAGCUGUUGGGACCCGAAAGAUGGUGAACUAUGCCUGAAUAGGGUGAAGCCAGAGGAAACUCUGGUGGAGGCUCGCAGCGGUUCUGACGUGCAAAUCGAUCGUCAAAUUUGGGUAUAGGGGCGAAAGACUAAUCGAACCAUCUGGUAGCUGGUU